AUGGUAGAACACAAAUGGUUCAAUAUCUUGAUGAGACAUAUGAAUCCAGCAUAUAAGUUCAUUGGUAGAAAGACCAUAAGAAAAGAGUGCAUCAAGGUUUAUGAAUCUGAGAAGGAACUUCUUAAGAAGAGUUUCAGGGAUGUCGAACAUAUUUGUUUAACAAGUGACUUGUGGACAUCAAAUCAAAAUCUCUCCUACAUGGCUUUGGUCGCUCACUACAUAGAUGUCGAUUGGGUUAUGCAAUGUCGUGUCCUGAACUUCAUUGAGUUAGAUCCACCACAUUCAGGAAGCAUCAUAGCUCAAGCAAUAUUUGAAUGUUUAUGUGAAUGGAAAAUAGAGGACAAGGUCAUCUCAAUCACAGUUGACAAUGCUAGAAAUAAUGAUGGAGCUGUGAGGAAUUUGAUUAACAAGUUUGUUGCAAGGAAAGUAACUGGCUUCAUUUCCACACAUUUUCAUGUUUGUUGUUGUUCUCACAUAGUCAACUUGGUAGUGAAUGAUGGUUUGGCACCAUUGCAAGCUUUUAUUAGCUUGCUAAGGGAAACUGUGAAGUAUUUGAAGAAGUCUCCUAGUCGCAUGUAUAAAUUCCUUGAAGUUUGUAAAACACUGAAUAUAGAACCUGGGGCUAGAUUAUGUCUAGAUGUGUCAACAAGGUGGAAUUCAACAUACAAGAUGUUUGAUUCUUGUACUCCAUAUAGGCCUGUUUUUCAUGAAUAUGCAGAUUCUGAUAUGAAUUACACGUGGGAGCCUUCUCAUGCAGAUUGGAAUAUGUAUUCCAAGGUGCAACCAAUCUUGACGCAAUUUGCUGAGAUAACUAAGGUAUUAUCAGGAUCUGUAUACCCUACUGCAAGUAUCUUUUACCCUUAUAUAGUGACUGUCAAAAUGGAGAUAGCGGCUGCAUGUCAUUCUAAAGAUAGCAUCUAUCAGCUAUGGCAUACGCAAUGA
rnacentral:rRNA from 1 species